CAGUCCGUCGGCGGCUCCCGUUCCUGGUCGGUGGUGUGGGGUCCUCCUCUAGUGUCAGGUAGGGUUGUUUUGGAUUUCCCUUAUUUCGGUUCGUUGCUGGAGCUGCCCCGGGGGUCCCUGCCGGAGCGGUCCCUGCCGGAGCGGUCCCUGCCGGAGCGGUCCCUGCCGGAGCGGUCCCUGCCGGGGUCGCGCCGCAGGACUUUGCCAGAGCGGGUCCCCAGGAGCGGCUGCUACAGCGCUCAGGAUAUCUUGUUCUCUCUGGCAGUACGGCAUUCUUCAGUUUGUCAGGUGAAGCGAGAGUGCUGCCUGUUGGUUUGUAGUUUCAACAGGUGGUCGUUCAGAAGUGUGGCGGGUUAAGAAGCCCACUGUGAAGUUUGCAGCUCUUCAGGUAUGUGGGAAGAAACAGAAAGGUUCGUGUCCUUGAGAGGCUUGAAUGCUUACUUUGAGUUGGAGGUGGUCAUCCAAAGAGGUUUGGAGUGGAGUUCCUUCCUGUGCUGGCUGAGAUCUGUGCUUUCCUGGAUUUUAGUUGUGUGUUCUAUAUGAGCAGUAUUGGGCUUUUUUUUUUAUUAUUAAUUUUUGUGGAUGCUUUGUUGUAUAGCAUGUUUUCCUAUGUUUACUGUGGUUAUGAGAUUUUGUAAUUUUGCUGUAUGUACAUAAUAUGUAUUGGAGCAUGUAAAGGAUUUUUUUGGAUAUAUACUGACUAUGUCUUGUUUUUAUAGUAUUUUUGCCUGGUAGUAAAAAACACAAACUGUUAAAUAGGCUUGAAUGUGAUAUUUUGCAGGUGCAUUUUGAGACAGAAACGUGUUAGAAAGGUAUUCGUUGACCUGAAUUUAAUGGGUUUCCUACAAUUGUAAGCUGUGCUUUGGAUUGUAUUUUCAAUCUGUGUCCUGCGUCUGUACAGCAUUUGUUGAUGUGGAAUGAAUAAUUGCAUGUUGUGUACUUGGAAAGCAUUUUUGGACCUCUGUUAGCUUUUUGUACACUGUGCAUUGUUGCAUUACCUCAGAAUGUAUUUUGAACCUGUAUCUGUUGCACCUUCUUGAUGAUGUAUUUUGGAGUCUACAGUUACAACGCAUACAGUGUGCCUCACAUUCCUGUUUUGAGAUUAUAUUCAGAUUGAACUUCAUCAACAAUGUUACUGUACAUUACCUGGCACUAAAUAUUUCUGUAAUGUGGGCAUUUCCUGCUCUUUGUUGUAACUAUGACCCGUGUUGUAUGGAAAUGUGUACUAUUUUGCCUAUGUUUGUGUUAAAGAAAAUGAGCGUAUUAGCAAUACUUUGUGUUAUUAGAAACCAGUAUGAAUCUCAAA